AGAGUUUGAUCCUGGCUCAGGAUGAACGCUAGCGGCAGGCUUAAUACAUGCAAGUCGAGGGGGCAGCAAUGUCACCGGCGAACGGGUGCGUAACGCGUAUGCAACCUACCUAUAUCAGGGGGACAGCCCUAGGAAACUGGGAUUAAUACCGCAUAAUAUAUUUCUUGGCAUCGGGAGAUAUUGAAAGAUUUAUCGGAUAUAGAUGGGCAUGCGUAGGAUUAGCUAGUUGGUGAGGUAACGGCUCACCAAGGCGACGAUCCUUAGGGGCUCUGAGAGGAGUAACCCCCACAUUGGCACUGAGAUACGGGCCAAACUCCUACGGGAGGCAGCAGUAGGGAAUAUUGGGCAAUGGAGGCAACUCUGACCCAGCCAUGCCGCGUGCAGGAAGACGGUCCUCUGGAUUGUAAACUGCUUUUGAAUGGGAAGAAUGUGUGGGAUGCGUCCCAUAAUGACGGUACCAUUAGAAUAAGCCACGGCUAACUACGUGCCAGCAGCCGCGGUAAUACGUAGGUGGCGAGCGUUAUCCGGAUUUAUUGGGUUUAAAGGGUGCGUAGGCGGCUAAAUAAGUCGGUGGUCAAAGGUAGCAGCUUAACUGUUUUACAUGCCAUCGAUACUGUAUAGCUUGAGUUGUUUGGAGGCAGCUAGAAUUUCCGGUGUAGCGGUGAAAUGCAUAGAUACCGGAAGGAAUACCGAUUGCGAAGGCAGGUUGCUACAAACACACUGACGCUGAUGCACGAAAGCGUGGGGAUCAAACAGGAUUAGAUACCCUGGUAGUCCACGCCGUAAACGAUGAUUACUAGUUGUUGGAGUUCACUUCAGUGACCAAGGGAAACCGAUAAGUAAUCCACCUGGGGAGUACGCCGGCAACGGUGAAACUCAAAGGAAUUGACGG
rnacentral:rRNA from 1 species